CCAUUUGGUAAAGGCUUAGGCUCAGAGGUUGUAAAGCAGUUUGGUAUCCCUAAUCUAUUUGAUUUUCCCAUUAGACCAACUGUAAGUCCUAUGUUUUUUCAGUUCACUUAUCAUUCGAAAUUGCUCUAGUGCAUGCUUGAGACUAGCUUGGUUGACAACAAGGGCCAUACAAUUUCUAUACAGUUCAAGUUUUUGUUUCAGAGCACACAUUGUCACGAUUUUGCUUCUUAUCAAUUUAUCAUCUCAAUAUGGUAUAUUUGCUGCGGGCAGAAAUUGUCUAAAACCUUGAUUACAUUUAUCUGGCAGCUAUCUGCGUCUGGAGAUCGUGGAGUACCUGAAGUGGUAGCUGAUCCUCUAGGUGAAGUUUCUAAGACAUUUCAGGAGCUUGGAAUAUGUGUUGUGCAACAAUGUGCUAAGAUUCACCAACAAGGCCUUAUUGAAAGCUGCGGUUGGCUACCUCUAAUUUCCCUAUCCAAUUAGAGGCUUGCUUGUUAUUAUCCUCCUUAGAAUAUUUUGGUUAGGAGGCAGCAGUAUUCCAUUUGUUGGGCUAGUACUUACAUCAUUAUGUCUCAUCUCAUUCUUAUUGUUUCCAAAUUCUUUUCGAAACUUGAAACUGUGAUGGAAGCCAAACUCUAGUAGGUGUAGUGUGGCAAAAAGUAACUGUGGUCGUGAUUAUGCUUGAUUAAUCAGAAAA